rnacentral:rRNA from 1 species
GACGAACGCUGGCGGCAGGCCUAACACAUGCAAGUCGAACGAGUGGCGGACGGGUGAGUAAUGUCUGGGAAACUGGCUGAUGGAGGGGGAUAACGACUGGAAACGGUAGCUAAUACCGCAUACCAUCAGAUGUGCCCAGAUGGGAUUAGCUAGUAGGUGGGGUAACGGCCCACCAAGCCGACGGUCCCUAGCUGGUCUGAGAGGAUGACCAGCCACACUGGAACGGAGACACGGUCCAGAAUCCUACGUGAGGCAGCAGUGGGGAAUAUUGGACAAUGGGCGCAAGCCUGAUGCAGCCAUGCCGCGUGUAUGAAGAAGGCCUGCGGGUUGUAAAGUACUUUCAUCGGGGAGGCGUUACCCGCAGAAGAAGCACCGGCUAACUCCGUGCCAGCAGCCGCGGUAAUAC